rnacentral:rRNA from 1 species
UACGUAGGGUGCGAGCGUUUGUCCGGAAUUACUGGGCGUAAAGAGCUCGUAGGUGGUUUGUCGCGUUGUCCGUGAAAACUCACAACUCAAUUGUGGGCGUGCGGGCGAUACGGGCAGACUGGAGUACUGCAGGGGAGACUGGAAUUCCUGGUGUAGCGGUGGAAUGCGCAGAGUAUCAGGAGGAACACCGGUGGCGAAGGCGGGGUCUCGUG